rnacentral:tRNA from 1 species
AAACUUUUAGUUUAAAUUAGAAUUUUUCAUUUACAAUGAAAGGGUCAAAAGUUUU